CCUACGGGAGGCAGCAGUGGGGAAUUUUGGACAAUGGGCGCAAGCCUGAUCCAGCUAUUCCGCGUGUGGGAAGACGGCCUUCGGGUUGUAAACCACUUUUGUAGAGAACGAAAAGUCUGUUGAUAAUACCGAUAGAUGAUGACGGUACUCUCAGAAUAAGCACCGGCUAACUACGUGCCAGCAGCCGCGGUAAUACGUAGGGUGCGAGCGUUAAUCGGAAUUACUGGGCGUAAAGGGUGUGCAGGCGGUUUUGCAAGAUGGAUGUGAAAGCCCCGGGCUUAACCUGGGAAAGCCAUACAUGACUGCAAGACUAGAGUGCGGCAGAGGGGGGUGGAAUUCCAAGUGUAGCAGUGAAAUGCGUAGAUAUUGGGAAGAACACCGAUGGCGAAGGCAGCCCCCUGGGACGCAACUGACGCUCAUACACGAAAGCGUGGGGAGCAAACAGGAUUAGAUACCCCUGUAGUC
rnacentral:rRNA from 1 species